rnacentral:rRNA from 1 species
AACGAACGCUGGCGGCAUGCCUAACACAUGCAAGUCGAACGAGACCUUCGGGUCUAGUGGCGCACGGGUGCGUAACGCGUGGGAACCUGCCCUUAGGUUCGGAAUAACUCCCCGAAAGGGGUGCUAAUACCGGAUAAUUUCUUCGGACCAAAGAUUUAUCGCCUUUGGAUGGGCCCGCGUUGGCUUAGCUAGUUGGUAGGGUAAAAGCCUACCAAGGCGACGAUCCAUAGCUGGUCUGAGAGGAUGAUCAGCCACACUGGGACUGAGACACGGCGCAGACUCCUACGGGAUGCAGCCAUGCGUAAUACAGGAAAACGGGCUAAGUCCUGAAGCACCUAUGCCGCGUGAGUGAUGAAGGCGUUAGAGUAGAAAAGCACUUUUACCCGCGACGAUACUGACAGUACCGAGAGAAUAAGCACCGGCUAACUUCGUG